rnacentral:rRNA from 1 species
AGUGAACGUUGGCGGCGUGGAUUAGGCAUGCAAGUCGAGCGAGAACCGUAGCAAUACGGGGACAGCGGCGAAAGGGACAGUAAUGUGUAGGUACCUACCCCGAGGUCUGGGAUAGCUGCGGGAAACUGCAGGUAAUACCGGAUAAUGUCUUCGGACCAAAGGUGUGAUUCCACCUUGGAAGGGGCCUGCAUCCUAUUAGCUAGUUGGCGGGGUAAUGGCCCACCAAGGCAACGAUGGGUAGCGGGUGUGAGAGCACGACCCGCGUCAUUGGGACUGAGACACUGCCCAGACACCUACGGGAGGCAGCAGUGGGGAAUUUUGGACAAUGGGGGCAACCCUGAUCCAGCCAUGCCGCGUGCGGGAAGAAGGCCUUCGGGUUGUAAACCGCUUUUGUCAGGGAAGAAACGCUCUGGGCUAAUACCCCGGGGUAAUGACGGUACCUGAAGAAUAAGCACCGGCUAACUACGUGCCAGCAGCCGCAGUAA